AGUGAACGCUGGCGGUAGGCCUAACACAUGCAAGUCGAACGGCAGCACAGUAAGAGCUUGCUCUUACGGGUGGCGAGUGGCGGACGGGUGAGGAAUACAUCGGAAUCUACUUUUUCGUGGGGGAUAACGUAGGGAAGCUUACGCUAAUACCGCAUACGACCUACGGGUGAAAGCAGGGGAUCUUCGGACCUUGCGCGAUUGAAUGAGCCGAUGUCGGAUUAGCUAGUUGGCGGGGUAAAGGCCCACCAAGGCGACGAUCCGUAGCUGGUCUGAGAGGAUGAUCAGCCACACUGGAACUGAGACACGGCCCAGACUCCUACGGGAGGCAGCAGUGGGGAAUAUUGGACAAUGGGCGCAAGCCUGAUCCAGCCAUACCGCGUGGGUGAAGAAGGCCUUCGGGUUGUAAAGCCCUUUUGUUGGGAAAGAAAAGCAGCAGGUUAAUACCCCGCUGUUCUGACGGUACCCAAAGAAUAAGCACCGGCUAACUUCGUG
rnacentral:rRNA from 1 species